rnacentral:rRNA from 1 species
UGGGGAAUAUUGCACAAUGGGCGAAAGCCUGAUGCAGCAACGCCGCGUGCGGGAUGACGGCCUUCGGGUUGUAAACCGCUUUCAGCAGGGACGAAGGUUUUCUGACGGUACCUGCAGAAGAAGCACCGGCUAACUACGUGCCAGCAGCCGCGGUGAUACGUAGGGUGCGAGCGUUGUCCGGAAUUAUUGGGCGUAAAGAGCUUGUAGGCGGUCCGUUGCGUCGGAAGUGAAAACUCAGGGCUUAACCCUGAGCCUGCUUUCGAUACGGGCGGACUUGAGGGAUGUAGGGGAGAACGGAAUUCCUGGUGGGGCGGUGGAAUGCGCAGAUAUCAGGAGGAACACCAGUGGCGAAGGCGGUUCUCUGGACAUUUCCUGACGCUGAGAAGCGAAAGCGUGGGGAGCAAACAGGCUUAGAUACCCGUGGUAGUCCACGCCGUAAACGGUGGGCACUAGGUGUGGGACCCAUUCCACGGGUUCCGUGCCGUAGCUAACGCAUUUAAGUGCCCCGCCU